UAUAAUGUAGUGGUUAGUAGUAAUUGCUCUCUCAUGAAAGGUCAUGGGUUUGAUUCCUAGUAUUGUGCACCCGCGUUCGAUUCACGUAAAAGACAAUCUUGAGGCAACCCAAUAUAAUACUCUCUCAUUUCCCUCCCUAUCAAAUGACAAAAAAAAUAAAUAAAAAAGAUCAAGUUGAUAUCAAGUUUAAGCAAGUGCCAUUAACAUUUCUCUCGUAAUUAGCAAAGCUUCGUGUCACAAAAACCAUGAUAUAUACGUUUUGGUCAGUUUAAUUUUGGUUUUUGGCGCAUUGUUGAUAUCGGGAAGCUUGGGAGUUGAAACACAGGUGGGGAAAUGUAUGCAAGUAGACGUGGAAUGGAGGAAAUGCAUGCAAGUCGUGUGUUGUGUUGACGGAUGGUAGGAAGGAAGGACAUUUGGCCAAAUUGAGUUAAUGGUAUGUCAUCGUUGUACAUUAAGUGGGUAGGUUUCAACCAAGACGGGUCAAAGCUGAGCAGAAGCUGACUGGGGAAUAUAUAUCUAUAAUGGGAGGGAUUGGCAUGCAGAAUAUGAUCUGUCUGAUUCUGAUGUGGAGGUAACACCCGAGGAACUAUUUAUUUAGUGGUGAACUUAUCCACUUUGCUACGCACUAGUACACUAUAUUCUUCUAUACUAGUAUUUCUUAUAUUAGAAGAUCAUGAAUUUCUUCAAUACAUAUCACGAGGGGUUCUCCAUGCACACUUGUAUUAUUCAAAUACAUUUUUAGUAUAUACAUGAUACUUAAUUAGCAGGAACUAUGGGAUGAUUAAGAAAAGAUGAACCUAAGUAUCUCCUUUUUUUAAAUUUUAAAAAAAAAAAAUUCAGAAGAGGAGAAAUUCG
rnacentral:lncRNA from 1 species